CGCUCUCUCAAUGAUGUAUCCAAACAAAUGUAAUACAGUGUUAUACAAAUGAAAUUUGUUCAUCUCAAACAAAAACUGCACUGCAAAAAGCAGCAAUUAUACCUUUUAAUGCUGACAACCAUGUUAUUAGCUUGUCAUGUGUCUGUCACAGGCAAUUCCAGAUGCAUUUUUCAUCAAUACAUUUCUUAAAUGAUCCUCUGACUAUGUUCUGGCCCGUCAUCUAGUGGCAACAAUUUUUUGGCCUGAUACCAAACUUACUUGCCGACCCCUGCUGUACUGUAUAUGAUUUCUAUUCACACUGAAAGCACAAAUCCAGGCUACCCGCUGCCUUUUUCAAAGCACAAUGCAAAACUGUGACGUUUCAUUCACUGACGCUCUUCACAGAAGCACAA